rnacentral:rRNA from 1 species
AGUGAACGCUGGCGAUAGGCCUAACACAUGCAAGUCGAACGGCAGCACAGUAAGAGCUUGCUCUUACGGGUGGCGAGUGGCGGGCGGGUGAGGAAUACAUCGGAAUCUACUUUUUCGUGGGGGAUAACGUAGGGAAACUUACGCUAAUACCGCAUACGACCUACGGGUGAAAGCAGGGGAUCUUCGGACCUUGCGCGAUUGAAUGAGCCGAUGUCGGAUUAGCUAGUUGGCGGGGUAAAGGCCCACCAAGGCGACGAUCCGUAGCUGGUCUGAGAGGAUGAUCAGCCACACUGGAACUGAGACACGGUCCAGACUCCUACGGGAGGCAGCAGUGGGGAAUAUUGGACAAAGGGCGCAAGCCUGAUCCAGCCAUACCGCGUGGGUGAAGAAGGCCUUCGGGUUGUAAAGCCCUUUUGUUGGGAAAGAAAAGCAGCAGGUUAAUACCCCGCUGUUCUGACGGUACCCAAAGAAUAAGCACCGGCUAACUUCGUG